ensembl:lncRNA
AAAGAAACUCCCAAGUGCAACCCAUGGACACUGAUUGGUUCAGAUCUUCUAUAAAUGACAUGACUGGGUCACAGGUGAUCACAGUCACCAAUCUUUUUUAAAGGUUGAUAACGAUGGGAAAUAUUUACACUAAACUAAUUUUUUUUUUUGAGACAUCAAAUAUGACUUAUAAAGAAAAUAAAUAUUAUGAAAAAGUGCUAAAAAUUCCAUACUUUUCUUCUAAUUUUAAAUCAAAGAAAAAUUUUGAUUAUAUUUUAGAAAAAUUAAAACCUACAUUCGAUGGUAUGCUAAUCAAAGAAGGGAAAAUUUAUUAUAAUAAUGUCAACAACAGAAAUGUAACUUAUACAUCACCUUGUUAUAUUUUAAUUUGGGAUUCUGAUCGUCGUAUUUUUAGCCGAGGUCUCGGGUUUUAUAUUGGAUCUGGAGUUAUAAUUACAGCCAAACAUGUUUUAAAGGCAUACAAAAAUAAAAACGUAUUUGUUCUUUUCCCAAAUAAAAUGUUUUAUUUAGCCUACAGUAUUAAUACUGAUAACAUCUAUUUUGACAAUGAUUAUGAUAUUGCUAGAGUUAAAUUGGAAAUCAGUUUUGAUAAACUACCAAAUAUAAAACCUGUAGAAAUAGACUUGAAUAGAAAUGAAAACAAAAAUCUUUAUUUUUACAAACUAAAAGCAGGGCGUUUUGUUAAAGUGAAAUGUAAAAAAACUAAAGAAUUAAAUCUUAAAGAAUUUACUCUUUCUAAAACGGGAAAUGAUGGAGAUAGCGGGACCCCUAUUUUUACAAGUUCUGGUAAAUGUGUUGCAAUGUAUAUUGGUGCAUUUACAAAAACAAACAGAAAAUGUAUACUUGGCAUAGGUUUACAAUUUGAUAGUUCUUUAAAGACAUCUCUUCAUUGAAUUUUCCUCUGUAGUUUAUAAUAUUCUAAUGCUUUAAAAAAAAAAAAAAAAAUCUCUUUUUCAUCACUGUUUCUCAACCCUGCUCCAAUUUCCCAAGCUCACUAAUGAGCUGGCUAAUUUUAUAGUGAGCGGGGAAGCAAAAAACAGGGUCACCAGGGGCAGGAUUGAGAAACACUGUAUCCCAUCAACAUAAAUUUGGAAGUGCAAAAAUGCUGUAACACAAUUGGCAUGGUUACAGUACCAUAAAGUGCUAAAUAUUUCCCAUUGUUUGGCUGUCUGGAGAGGAUCUUGUGCCUUGCCCAAAACAAAAUCUUGUGUCUUGUCGGUAUGGAGCUGGACUAUUGUUACAGAUGUUGCAGGAGCAGCUCUGAAAGUCAUCUGUUUCAAGUUGUUCAGUUAAUGAUGUGGAAAAAAAAUAUGGACCAACUAUGCUUGAACCUUGUCAAAAUACAUUAAACACAACUGUAAAAAAAUUAAAGUUUUCAAAUGUUUGCAAAGCUGAAUCAAAAGAUGAAUAUAUCUGCUUUUCUGGUUUAUGCUGAAAACAACUAGAAGCACCUCCAGACUGCAUAUGUCACAUUUGGGUCAAGUUACAAUCAUGAUUCCUCUCCAUAAAAUGGUGGUGGCCCGGACUCACUUGAUCAAAAGAGACGCAACAAUAUGUUGAAACAGGGCAUAGUAAGCACAACACCCUUACGCCAUUGCUCGGUGUCAUGUUGAACCACCUUUGGAUGACACGCGUCACUUUUGGGUCAAAAGAUAUUCCUCAUGAUAUUGAAGAUAUUUCUAUUCCUCAUGAUAUUGAAGAUAUUUCUAUUCCUCAUGAUAUUGAAGAUAUUUCUAUUCCUCAUGAUAUUGAAAAUAUUCAUCAUGAUACUGAAGAUAUUCCUCAUGAAGUUAUUCCUCAUGAAGUUACUUUCUAAAUAAACAAAAUGAGAUUCUAAAUAAAUGUACAAAAAAAUUUUUUUCACUUUUUUCCCCCCAAACCUUAAGAAUCCUUUACAUCAAAUCUUAGCCCUAAGCAUCUAUCUUUCCCAAAAUCCAUAAUUAGAGCUGUCUCCUGUCCUCCAAAAUGUUCUUUGGUGCCUUCAGCCAUUGUAUGUUUAUUUACAAUUGAAAUUUAAUGAUUCUCUGUCAGAAUAAUUUUCAAAACACUUUCAAUGAUGAUCCACCAGAUGGAGACAAAGAUUGAUUUGUAAAACAGAAAGUUUUUGUCUAGACGGGACUAGUUUUGUAAACUACGUUUGAGUUUCGAUUCUUACCACAUGACGUCUGCGAUUUUCAUGUACCAAUUCGGACGGGACUAACAUCUCCGUGUUUAUUACAGAGGUGGGAGGGUCUGUUUUGUGCAUCUGGGCGUCACAGAGAUCACGCGCUCAGUAUGCGUGCAUUGCAUAUAACGUUAGUCAUUCGGAUCGAUUACCAUUAGUAUUAUUACACAAUAAAUGCUAAAAACUAAAUGGCUAGUAUAGCAAAACCAUGUUAAUGUGUGGUUUCUUUAGUUUAACUUCAUUAAUUACAUCUGUAAUUAAAACAUAAUGUAACUGAGUGCAUAAAUGAACGUGAGUAAUCUUACCUGAUGCUGAUAUUACAAUAGCCAGUAUUAACAGUUUACGUGAUCUGGCUCUUGAUUUUAUUAUUUUUAUUAUUUUUAUUAUUAUUAUUAUUUCUUUGCCGGUAAGCAAAUAUAGAAAACAUGCUCGUGGUAAGAGCAUCUAUGGUAAUUCACGUUGGCCAAAACAGACAAGGAAACGCGUUGUGAAAUAAAAUAUCGCCGGCAAUCACAGACAUUCGCAUUCGGACGGGAUUAGUUUUCUCAGAGGAUCACUGAAUUUUGCUAAAAAAAAAACAGUAGGUAAUUUGCUCUGGAAUUAUUACAGAGGUUGUGUGAGAAAAACACAGACGUGGCAGAUUCGGACGGGAUUAAAAUCACUAAGUACGUCUGUGAAACACAGAUUUCUCUAACGACCCCCUGUAAAACUAGUCCUGUCCGAAUAGGGCUAUGUCUACCUUUUGCCUGACCUCAUCAUUAUGAUAAUAUUGUAAAAA